GUCAUUUUCUUGUCUGUAUCACUCCUAUGAAGACGAAUAUCGCAAAUGCCCAGAAGCGUUGUAAUUGUUCUAUGGUAAAAAUGUAGAAGGUGCUUGACUACGCGUGAAACAAAACUAUCAUCGGCAAUCAAAUUGGUGGCAUUUGCGAAGCUUAAACUUAAGCACUGGUGACUUCAGUGUUAUGAAUUGAAAUCGCGAAAGCAUCUGCAACAUGCGACUCAUCGAUCUUUUUUGGGUUACUGUUUUACUUUUAUUCAGUUGUUCAAACUUUUGCCGGAGCAAACCAAACUAUCAGGAUGAGUCUUCAAUGGCCGAACUCUAUGCUCCCGUCGUUUGUCCUCAUGGACAGAAAGCGGACCAUCGAGGAAAGUGUCGGGUGUGUUGGUGAUGAAGUUAAUUAGAAAUAAUAUGGAACACUAAGGCAGUAACCAAUUUGUACAGUGAGCUCUUCAAACCAGUACUACAAAAUAAUAUAUUGAGUUAGGAAAUAUGUUGCUAUUCUUAAUGCGUUUAUCUAUGUUAUGCAAAAGAAAUUAAAAUGAUCUAUUGAUUUUCUA